UAAAUGUAAAUAUUCACUAGUUUUCAGCUUUAAAAACAUGAAUAGUGUUUAUUUUAGUUCUUCUUGUUGUUCUUGGGCUUCUCCCUGCUCAGAGUCUUCCUGUCUUAACCCAGGGCUCAAGACCGGCACUGGUAGUUACCGCCAGUGACUGGCUCGGUCCUGCCACUGGACCACCAUGGAACUAAUUUUAAUGAAAUUCACUAAAUCAGAACUCUGUUAUCAUCACACAGGUCCAACCACAGAGGAAUGUUGUGUCCAUUUCUCUUUCACGCUGCCUUCCAGUAAACCUUCAACAAGCCGUGAAGAAUCUAGACAGGACUGUCCAGAGCGUAUCGUCCUGCAAGUUUCUACUCUUUCUAUUUAUUCAUCUUACUUGACUUGGAAGAUGAAGGGUGACUGUAGAUGACUUACAGUAGUUCUAGAUCACAUGCAUGACUUGCAAACCCUUUUUUUAAACAUUGCUAAAUUCUAGAUUAAUUUAAUGUGCCAAUUUCAGUAAUAAUGAUUUAUAUGGUAAGGUUUUUAAUUAAAGUAAGGAGAUUUUUGGAAGGAGACUCCAGUGUGGCAGCACUUUUUAACAGUCAGAGUGAUUUUUAUGACGUCUUCCCUCAUUGUUAGCUUCGAAAGAGAGAAAAAGGGGUGGUGAUGGUGUUUAUAGCUGGUGUAACAUAAGUGAGAACAGGCAUUAAAUGUAACUAUAAGCAGGUAAAUAAAUAAAUAACCGUUUAAGAGGAGCAAACCUGGGUUCAUGCCGAAAAAGAAAAAUAAUCAUGCUUCAUCACAUCACUUGGUAUUUUAAUUUGAAUCGCUAGUUUGUUGCUGAGACAAUCGCUGAUUAUUGAUUUGUCAAAUCAUCGUAUGGAUAAUCGGACUACAGACUUUCGCUUUGUUACAGAGAAAAAUAUUUUCUUGUUGCAGGACGAAGACCAUCAGCAGUCGCUGUGAGGAUCAUGACACCGAAUGGUUGCAGAGUGUCGGCGAAGCUUAUGACUGGUGUCUGAUAAAAGUUAAAUCCUUCCUCUGUCAUUUCUGCUCUCAAAAGCUCAUGACAUGGCUUUUUGUUUUUAUUUAUUUAUUUAUUUUACUGUAAAUCACAUUUAAGCCUGAAGCAAAUUUUGCUUGUAAAGCUUCAGAAUCAUAUUUGUAGAUGUUUUAUUUUUUAUUUAAGAUGGAUAGACUAGACAGUCCAAAAAGCAAGAGAAGUGAUGAUUUCUGUUCAAUAAUAAUCAUCUCAGGUUAUUUGGAGUCGUACACUUUUGUAUAUUUUGUGUAUUUUCCUGUAAAAGUUGUAUAUUUUGUGUAUUUUCUUUUGUUGAACUACAGGUUACGUGCCUAAACAAGACAGCAGUAAAACCUUCCCCUUGUUCAUCAAUCAAUUUCUAGAUGCAAAAACAACAGAGGACUGCUGUUACCUGUUCAGUCAGAGUCCAGCCCAAGUGUUUAUGCCAAGAGAAGAAAAAACGCCUAACGUCUGUGAACAAAUCAGCUUUAACCUUACCGUCCCGGCCAGCACACGUGACUGUAGGAGACACGGCAUUCGUUUGGCUCGGGAUUUCAUCAGACAGACGUACAACUGCCUGAAGUGGGCCUUCUGACAAACAGAUCAAAUGAGUUCAUGUUGAUUCAAAGAUUUGAUAAUUAACCUUGCUUGAAUUAAAGGGUUCACUGGAUUACAAUUUAAUCCCAAAAAAACAAAAGAAAAGCAACAAACCUUAUCUAGUGCUUGGACCCCUUAAUCACUGCUUGCAGCUAUAUUUGCUGAACUGUAUAAAAAGCUGUUGUUUUUUUUUUUUAAAUCAA